rnacentral:rRNA from 1 species
GACAGAGGCCUCAAGCGUUAGGCGGAAUCACUGGGCUUAAAGCGUGUGUAGGCGGAUCGUUAAGUGCCUUGUGAAAUCCCACGGCUUAACUGUGGAACGGCUGGGCAUACUGGCGGUCUUGAGCCAUCUAGGGGCGACUGGAACAAACGGUGGAGCGGUGAAAUGCGUAGAUAUCACUUGGAACGCCAAUGGUGAAGACAGCUCGCUGGGGGUGUCCUGACGCUGAGGCGCGAAAGCCAGGGGAGCGAACGGG